AAAUUACGUAUAUCAUUCCUUCCCUCUCUCUUGUGCAUGAACGCACACUUCAUUGCUGUUUUUGGAUAUCCUCCCCUCCUCGUUGCGGCAGCGGCGGAGAAGCGGCCAUGGUGAAAUACGUCGACACCGGCGCCGACACCGCCGCCGGCGGCAACAAAAAGAUGCGCAAAGGCUUCAAGUCAGACCGCCUAGAGAACUACAAGCGCAUGCUGGCCAAGAAGAACGGCAAGACAGUCAGAGAUGCCCCGACGUGCACGGCGCGACCCAAGGCACUCACGUUCGACGAUUCCUCGCGCAGGGACUAUCUGCUUACGCUGCACAAAAAGAAGAACGAACGACGUGUGCAGGCUUUCGUGGAUGCGAAGCGCAAGCAGCGCAAGGACAGUGCCAAGACCCGGCGAGAGCAGCGCGAGGAGGCGCGACGGGCGUACAACAACUACGCUCGUGUGCCAAUUUUACCUGACUAUACGUACCGCCUGCCAAGGCAACAGGACGACAUGUUUGCCGACGACGAGGAGAACGAGGAGAGAGAGGGAGAGGACGGCUACAGUAGCCAGAGCGCGGAGGACGGGGAGGAAGACGCCGACAUGCCGUGGAUAAGUAUCGACGAUCCGGAGGCAUCGCAGAGGCGCCGGCGCGAAAAGCGGCUGGCAACUCUUCCGCACAGCGCGCACGCGAUGCCCGGCGCUAUGCUGGGCCAAGAGGCAGGCACCGCUGCGGACACGCACCUCCCUGUCGGCCCGUCCUCCUCCAGCAAGUUGGACAGCGAGUACGUGACGGUCGACGUGAAGCCGCUCUUUAGCACAUCCAGCGGUGACGCAGCGAGCACCCGCAAAGGCGGUGACGCAGCGAGCACCCGCAAAGGCGGUGCCGCGUCCACGAAGACGCUGCCUUGCAACAACUUCGAUGACCUCCCUCUUGUCGUCCGGCAGGAACUUCACCGCUUGCGGCAAGAGACGAAGGGCCCCGCAAAGACGAAACCGCGGAUGCGCAUGAUGAAGGAGCUGGAGAAGAUUCGCAAGAUCCGCAAGCACUCACGCAAGGGCCACGGCAAGCGCAAAGCCUCUGGCAAGCGUAAGAAUCGCAAAAAGUAGGCAAUGAAUUCGUGGCCAGUGGGCGAUGUGUGCGCCAUUCCGAGGGUCCCUGGCAUCUCCCUUUCCUACGAGGCACCUGCCUCUUGUGGGGUGACUCUCCUGCCAUCCGUUCUUCUGCGGUCUGCCGCUGCUACUGCGUGGUCGCGAUGCCUCGACUUCGCAUGUGACGUUGUGUAAUGGCUGUAAUUCACAAAUAAUUUGCGCACCACAGACGGUGGCAUCGGAAAGCGCAACAUCAGUGCCGCCGCCGUGUUUUCUCCCCCGCACGGCCCCGUUCCUCUGUCUCCGACUCCCUCCCUCUCUCUUGAAUCGGCUGUGGUGCAACGGCGACGUACAGCGAAAAGGGUAUCGUGGCUCUUGAGCCGCAGCAACC
rnacentral:misc_RNA from 1 species